UCACUUCACUUCUCUGGGCCUCGGACCGUCCUUCUCAGACUGGGAGUCCCGGGUGGGGCCUGAUUAUCUUAUAUUUUCCCCGGUUUUAAUCCUGACUCCGCCAUUUACCUGCUCUGUGACCCUGGGCGAGUCACUUCACUUCUCUGGGCCUCGGACCGUCCUUCUCAGACUGGGAGUCCCGGGUGGGGCCUGAUUAUCUUAUAUUUUCCCCGGUUUUAAUCCUGACUCCGCC